rnacentral:rRNA from 1 species
CCUACGGGUGGCUGCAGUGAGGAAUAUUGGUCAAUGGACGAGAGUCUGAACCAGCCAAGUAGCGUGAAGGAUGACUGCCCUAUGGGUUGUAAACUUCUUUUAUAUGGGAAUAAAACGUUCCACGUGUGGGAUUUUGUAUGUACCAUAUGAAUAAGGAUCGGCUAACUCCGUGCCAGCAGCCGCGGUAAUACGGAGGAUCCGAUCGUUAUCCGGAUUUAUUGGGUUUAAAGGGAGCGUAGGUGGAUUGUUAAGUCAGUUGUGAAAGUUUGCGGCUCAACCGUAAAAUUGCAGUUGAAACUGGCAGUCUUGAGUACAGUAGAGGUGGGCUGAAUUCGUGGUGUAGCGGUGAAAUGCUUAGAUAUCACGAAGAACUCCGAUUGCGAAGGCAGUUCACUGGACUGCAACUGACACUGAGGCUCGAAAGUGUGGGUAUCAAACAGGAUUAGAUACCCGUGUAGUC